UCAGAAUCCGCUGACACAGUGAAGAGCCGUCUGGGCAUCAAGUUAUGCAGCGAGAAUAUUUAGCUGGACCCGGUGAUGCAGAGCUGUUAUGGAGACCCUACAGGCAGAACAGCAGGAGAAACUUGGAGACAAAGGAACAGCCACUUUUUAUGUAGAGGGGAAGAGAGAAGAGCGAAGAG